CAUUUGUCAAUUAGCAGUAGAGUUAUUGGGCAGUAGCGUCGGCGGCCAGCAUUUUGUCAGGGUGCAAGCAAACGCGACGGCGGCCGCCGGCCGGCACGCAGCGGAAGACACGAGGCUGGCACGCUUUCCGCGUUCGACGACGGCGACGGCGACCAGAGUGCUCGAUGGACCAUUCCAUUUGUCACGGGCGCACGGAGGUCGUCGGACGGAAAGGUGCACGGAACGCGGACAGACAUUAGACAUUAGAGAAAAUGCAAGGGCGGCGGCGUGGCGGAACGGAACCUUUUUCCAGGAGCCAGCCGCGCAGCGCAUUACCCGGUUCUUGUGUAAACGGAACCUUUUUCCAGCGAAAGAUCUAGACCAAAAAGCUAAGCAAAGCAACGCUACCGAUCGAGAGGAAACUGAAGGCCACACACGACACGACUCGCCAGGGGAAUGACGUCCGGGAAUCUUAGCCUCGUUUACUUCAUUAAUGGUUCGGCCAACGGCGGCGGAUCGGUCGCCGCGCCGUCGCCGCCGGCGGUGGCCAGAGUGGGGAGGGAACGAAAGCACGCGGCGGCAGUAGUAGGGCCUCGAAUCGAUCGAAGUCAAGGCGGGAAGGCAGGGGGGACGACGUACCAUGAGGGCGAGCCGCGGGCGGUCGAGCGCGCCGGCGGGAGAGAAUUGAGAGAGCGAGCACGAGCUACCGGCGGGCAAGCGGCCGGACGACGACGCUACCAAUCAUCCCCUUCCUCCCUCCUCUCUUCUCCUCUCCUUUCUUUUCC
rnacentral:misc_RNA from 1 species